UUUACCCGCCGCCCGACACGGUCACACCGCUCGAGAAGUAGAGAAAAAAAGAAGGCGACGAAUCAAAAGCAGCAAGCAGCAAGCAAAAUCGACGCCGCACGUACCGGGAGCAUUUAAAUAAUUUUUUCUGUGGAUUAAUUUAACCGAAAAGGCUUCAACACAAUGACUGAGCGCGAGAACAAUGUGUACAAGGCAAAGCUGGCCGAACAGGCCGAGCGCUACGACGAAAUGGUGGAGGCCAUGAAGAAGGUCGCCUCCAUGGACGUCGAGCUGACCGUCGAGGAGCGAAACCUGCUGUCGGUGGCGUACAAGAAUGUGAUCGGAGCACGCCGUGCCUCGUGGCGCAUCAUCACCUCGAUCGAACAGAAGGAGGAGAACAAGGGAGCCGAGGAGAAGCUGGAGAUGAUCAAAACCUACCGGGGACAGGUUGAGAAGGAGCUGCGCGACAUCUGCUCGGAUAUACUGAACGUGCUCGAGAAGCACCUCAUUCCAUGCGCCACAUCCGGCGAAAGCAAAGUAUUCUACUAUAAGAUGAAGGGCGACUACCAUCGCUACCUGGCCGAAUUCGCCACCGGUUCGGACCGCAAGGACGCGGCGGAGAACUCACUGAUUGCCUACAAGGCGGCCAGCGACAUUGCCAUGAACGAUCUGCCACCAACACACCCCAUCCGCUUGGGCUUGGCAUUGAACUUCUCGGUGUUCUACUAUGAGAUACUCAACUCGCCGGACCGCGCUUGCCGAUUGGCGAAAGCCGCUUUCGAUGAUGCCAUUGCCGAGUUGGAUACGCUGAGUGAAGAGAGCUACAAAGACUCGACACUCAUCAUGCAGCUGCUGCGGGACAACCUCACAUUAUGGACGUCCGAUAUGCAGGCAGAAGAAGUAGACCCCAACGCAGGUGAUGGCGAGCCCAAAGCAGAAAUCCAGGAUGUUGAGGAUCAGGAUGUGUCGUAAUUUAAGUAAACCCCCGCCCUUCCAUUUAAAACACAUUAUAUACCUUCUAAACAACAUCAACAACAUGGAACCAACACACGGCAACCACAACCACAACAACAACAUCCGCAAUCAACGAACGACAACAAUAGCAGACGAGAGUAUAUAGUAGCAACAGCAGCAGCGGCAUCAGCAACAACAUAAGCAACAACAAGCAAACCAGCAAGCAACAAUAUGUCAUCAACAAUAAACAACAUGGAAAACAACAGCACAAAAACAGAAAAAACCAAACAAAAUGUUUGAAAAUUGGGCGGCCUGGUGGGCGUGGCGGCGCGGCUGUUGCUGCGGCAUGGAAUCGCAGCCUAAAGAAUUCGCGGCACUAUUUUCUGUCGUCGUUUGGCGAUGCGUGUGGCUCCUCCACGUUAGAAAGAAACUGCAACAUCAACUCUACUACAUUUGAAAUUUUUGCAUUCGAGAAACCAAGCAUUAUAUUAUAUUUAAAUAAAUAUUAUAUUUAAUUAUGAGAAGCAAAAAACAAAACAAAUAAACUUCAUUUAAACCUAAACCACAAGAAAGUAACGAAAGUCAAGCGAACACUUAACGAAAAUUGAGUAACAAUCACACCAAGCAAAUUUCAUCGAGUUGGCAUGCAUUAAUUUUUAAACUUUAAAAACAACAACAGCAACACGUAAAAUACAACUUUAAUUUUAAGCCAAUAAAAAAACGUGAGAACGAGGAAAUAAAAACGAAAAACGAUUUAAUAAGCGCAAACGUAAAAGUAAAACAAAGUCGAAAAUGUAAGGAAAAAAAAAUACAGCAAUUAAUUUAAAUUUAAUACAAGAAUAAAACGUAAAAGGAGUAAACGAAACGAAGUGAGCAAACAGAAUGAAAGACGCAAAAUAAAGCUAAAAACUAUAUUAAAUGAGAAAAAGGAAUGUUAGUUAAGCGAAAUUCAAAACGAAUUCUUAAGCUUAAAUUUGUAUGUAUGUAAGUGUACUGUUCAAACACUGACACACCCACUCGCAUACAGUCGCACACUCACUCACACACACACCGCCCACUCGCACACACACAGACGCCCACAAUACGCAUACGAACCGUUUGUUUUCUCUUAACGUUUCCUUGCUCUCUUUCGCUGUAACACUCACACUCCCACACACACACACACCCACACGCCGGUCGAAUUUAAACAAAUCGAACGGGAAUUCGGUUGAUUUCUGUUUUUCGCUUUUCGUUUUGUGUUCUCCAUCGCAAUCGCAGCAAUUUUUCUCAUCAUCUCUUACCUUGCGCAACAAAGAAAACAUAUUAAUAAUAUAGAAAAGUAUUUGUAGUUGCUAAAUACAAGAAACAAAAAGAAUACAAAAACGAAAAACAACGGUACAUAUAUAUAUUGUAUACAUAUAUACUUGUAUAUUUUCUAUGCCUACCACUUAUGUAAUUUGUAGAGAUUUCGAACUUUUUCCCCGCCCCCCCGAAAAAACUAACCCCUCCAGCAGCCCGUCCCCUGACAAAUUCCAGAAUCCUCUCAGCAUUUAAAACCCCAUCCCCCGGACAGAAUCCAAGCCCCAGAACAGACGAGAAAUAUCAUUUGAUUAGCUAAAAAUCGACUAAAACGAAAUCCCCUACAAGAACAACACCAACGGCAGCAUUAUCUGUAGCGUGUUUGCGUGAUUAGCGAAAAAGAAAAUAGAAUGACAUGAUGAUGAUGUGAGCAGCUACAGGAGAAUUUUCGCACGAGCUUUUUCACGGCUCUCCGUUUUCUUUUUUGAUAAAUGAGGCGCGCCAAUAAGUGGGCAGACUAAUAAUUCGCAGUCGCUAGAGAGAAAAGGCCCGUGCAGAAAGUUAAUUAAGCAUAAAUCAGCCGCAGCAACAACAACCGCAACAUUCUUGAACGGAACAACAACAACAGCAAUACAAGAAACCAGCAGCUAAAACUGACAUUCGUAUUCAUUUCAAAUAAAAAUCAUAAAAAAACAACAA